CCUACGGGUGGCAGCAGUGAGGAAUAUUGGUCAAUGGGCGGAAGCCUGAACCAGCCAAGCCGCGUGAAGGACGACGGCCCCAAGCAUUGUAAACUUCUUUUAUAAAGGAACAAAGUCAGGCACGUGAGCCUGACCGAGUGUACUUGAUGAAAAAGGAUCGGCUAACUCCGUGCCAGCAGCCGCGGUAAUACGGAGGAUCCGAGCGUUAUCCGGAUUUAUUGGGUGUAAAGGGAGCGUAGAGGGCAGGUCAAGUCUGUGGUGAAAGCCCGUGGCUCAACCGUGGAACUGCAUUUGAAACUGGCAAGCUGGAGUGCAGGAGAGGUAAGCGGAAUUCCUGGUGUAGCGGUGAAAUGCGUAGAUAUUAGGAGGAACACCGGUGGCGAAGGCGGCUUACUGGACUGUCACUGACGUUGAGGCUCGAAAGCGUGGGGAGCAAACAGGAUUAGAUACCCUAGUAGUC
rnacentral:rRNA from 1 species